rnacentral:rRNA from 1 species
UAGGGAAUCUUCCGCAAUGGGCGAAAGCCUUACGGAGCAACGCCGCGUGAGUGAUGAAGGUCUUCGGAUCGUAAAACUCUGUUAUUAGGGAAGAACAAAUGCGUAUGUAACUAUGCACGUCUUGACGGUACCUAACCAGAAAGCCACGGCUAACUACGUGCCAGCAGCCGCGGUAACACGUAGGUCGCAAGCGUUAUCCGGAAUUAUUGGGCGUAAAGCGCGCGUAGGCGGUUUUUUAAGUCUGAUGUGAAAGCCCACGGCUCAACCGUGGAGGGUCAUUGGAAACUGGAAAACUUGGGUGCAGAAGAGGAAAGUGGAAUUCCAUGUGUAGCGGUGAAAUGCGCAGAGAUAUGGAGGAACACCAGUGGCGAAGGAGACCUUCUGGUCUGUAACUGACGCUGAUGUGCGAAAGCGUGGGGAUCAAACAGG